UCAGCAGCCGCGGUAACACCGGCGGCCCGAGUGGUGAUCGUGAUUAUUGGGUCUAAAGGGUCCGUAGCCGGUUUGGUCAGUCCUCCGGGAAAUCUGAUAGCUCAACUAUUAGGCUUUCGGGGGAUACUGCCAGACUUGGAACCGGGAGAGGUAAGAGGUACUACAGGGGUAGGAGUGAAAUCUUGUAAUCCCUGUGGGACCACCUGUGGCGAAGGCGUCUUACCAGAACGGGUUCGACGGUGAGGGACGAAAGCUGGGGGCACGAACCGGAUUAGAUACCCGGGUAGUCCCAGCCGUAAACGAUGCUCGCUAGGUGUCAGGCAUGGCGCGACCGUGUCUGGUGCCGCAGGGAAGCCGUGAAGCGAGCCACCUGGGAAGUACGGCCGCAAGGCUGAAACUUAAAGGAAUUGGCGGGGGAGCACAACAACGGGUGGAAGCCUGCGGUUUAAUUGGACUCAACGCCGGACAACUCACCGGGGGCGACAGCAGUAUGUAGGCCAAGCUGAAGACUUUGCCUGAAUCGCUGAGAGGAGGUGCAUGG
rnacentral:rRNA from 1 species